rnacentral:rRNA from 1 species
GGUUAAGCGACUAAGCGUACACGGUGGAUGCCCUGGCAGUCAGAGGCGAUGAAGGGCGUGCUAAUCUGCGAUAAGCGCCGGUAAGGUGAUAUGAACCGUUAUAACCGGCGAUACCCGAAUGGGGAAACCCAGUGUGAUUCGUCACACUAUCAUUAACUGAAUCCAUAGGUUAAUGAGGCGAACCGGGGGAACUGAAACAUCUAAGUACCCCGAGGAAAAGAAAUCAACCGAGAUUCCCCCAGUAGCGGCGAGCGAACGGGGAGGAGCCCAGAGCCUGAAUCAGCAUGUGUGUUAGUGGAAGCGUCUGGAAAGGUGCGCGAUACAGGGUGACAGCCCCGUACACAAAAGCGCAUGUGCUGUGAGCUCGAUGAGUAGGGCGGGACACGUGGUAUCCUGUCUGAAUAUGGGGGGACCAUCCUCCAAGGCUAAAUACUCCUGACUGACCGAUAGUGAACCAGUACCGUGAGGGAAAGGCGAAAAGAACCCCGGCGAGGGGAGUGAAAAAGAACCUGAAACCGUGUACGUACAAGCAGUGGGAGCACAGGUUUACCUGUGUGACUGCGUACCUUUUGUAUAAUGGGUCAGCGACUUAUAUUCUGUAGCAAGGUUAACCGUAUAGGGGAGCCGGAGGGAAACCGAGUCUUAACCGGGCGUUAAGUUGCAGGGUAUAGACCCGAAACCCGGUGAUCUAGCCAUGGGCAGGUUGAAGGUUGGGUAACACUAACUGGAGGACCGAACCGACUAAUGUUGAAAAAUUAGCGGAUGACCUGUGGCUGGGGGUGAAAGGCCAAUCAAACCGGGAGAUAGCUGGUUCUCCCCGAAAGCUAUUUAGGUAGCGCCUCGUGAAUUCAUCUCCGGGGGUAGAGCACUGUUUCGGCUAGGGGGCCAUCCCGGCUUACCAACCCGAUGCAAACUGCGAAUACCGGAGAAUGUUAUCACGGGAGACACACGGCGGGUGCUAACGUCCGUCGUGAAGAGGGAAACAACCCAGACCGCCAGCUAAGGUCCCAAAGUCAUGGUUAAGUGGGAAACGAUGUGGGAAGGCCCAGACAGCCAGGAUGUUGGCUUAGAAGCAGCCAUCAUUUAAAGAAAGCGUAAUAGCUCACUGGUCGAGUCGGCCUGCGCGGAAGAUGUAACGGGGCUAAACCAUGCACCGAAGCUGCGGCAGCGAACGUAUCACCCAAGACAACUUUACGGAGUUGACGAUUGACGGAGCGAAGCGACGUCAAAGCGUUCAUUAAAGUCGAGUUGGCUUAGGGAUACGUUCGUUGGGUAGGGGAGCGUUCUGUAAGCCUGUGAAGGUGUGUCGUGAGGCAUGCUGGAGGUAUCAGAAGUGCGAAUGCUGACAUAAGUAACGAUAAAGCGGGUGAAAAGCCCGCUCGCCGGAAGACCAAGGGUUCCUGUCCAACGUUAAUCGGGGCAGGGUGAGUCGACCCCUAAGGCGAGGCCGAAAGGCGUAGUCGAUGGGAAACGGGUUAAUAUUCCCGUACUUGGUGUUACUGCGAAGGGGGGACGGAGAAGGCUAUGUUGGCCGGGCGACGGUUGUCCCGGUUUAAGCGUGUAGGUGUGUGUUCCAGGUAAAUCCGGUUCACUUUAACACUGAGGCGUGACGACGAGGCACUACGGUGCUGAAGCAACAAAUGCCCUGCUUCCAGGAAAAGCCUCUAAGCAUCAGGUAACACGAAAUCGUACCCCAAACCGACACAGGUGGUCAGGUAGAGAAUACCAAGGCGCUUGAGAGAACUCGGGUGAAGGAACUAGGCAAAAUGGUGCCGUAACUUCGGGAGAAGGCACGCUGACACGUAGGUGAAAUGAUUUACUCAUGGAGCUGAAGUCAGUCGAAGAUACCAGCUGGCUGCAACUGUUUAUUAAAAACACAGCACUGUGCAAACACGAAAGUGGACGUAUACGGUGUGACGCCUGCCCGGUGCCGGAAGGUUAAUUGAUGGGGUCAGCGUAAGCGAAGCUCCUGAUCGAAGCCCCGGUAAACGGCGGCCGUAACUAUAACGGUCCUAAGGUAGCGAAAUUCCUUGUCGGGUAAGUUCCGACCUGCACGAAUGGCGUAAUGAUGGCCAGGCUGUCUCCACCCGAGACUCAGUGAAAUUGAACUCGCUGUGAAGAUGCAGUGUACCCGCGGCAAGACGGAAAGACCCCGUGAACCUUUACUAUAGCUUGACACUGAACAUUGAGCCUUGAUGUGUAGGAUAGGUGGGAGGCUUUGAAGUGUGGACGCCAGUCUGCAUGGAGCCGACCUUGAAAUACCACCCUUUAAUGUUUGAUGUUCUAACGUGGACCCGUAAUCCGGGUUGCGGACAGUGUCUGGUGGGUAGUUUGACUGGGGCGGUCUCCUCCUAAAGAGUAACGGAGGAGCACGAAGGUUGGCUAAUCCUGGUCGGACAUCAGGAGGUUAGUGCAAUGGCAUAAGCCAGCUUGACUGCGAGCGUGACGGCGCGAGCAGGUGCGAAAGCAGGUCAUAGUGAUCCGGUGGUUCUGAAUGGAAGGGCCAUCGCUCAACGGAUAAAAGGUACUCCGGGGAUAACAGGCUGAUACCGCCCAAGAGUUCAUAUCGACGGCGGUGUUUGGCACCUCGAUGUCGGCUCAUCACAUCCUGGGGCUGAAGUAGGUCCCAAGGGUAUGGCUGUUCGCCAUUUAAAGUGGUACGCGAGCUGGGUUUAGAACGUCGUGAGACAGUUCGGUCCCUAUCUGCCGUGGGCGCUGGAGAACUGAGGGGGGCUGCUCCUAGUACGAGAGGACCGGAGUGGACGCAUCACUGGUGUUCGGGUUGUCAUGCCAAUGGCACUGCCCGGUAGCUAAAUGCGGAAGAGAUAAGUGCUGAAAGCAUCUAAGCACGAAACUUGCCCCGAGAUGAGUUCUCCCUGAGACUUAGAGUCUCCUGAAGGAACGUUGAAGACGACGACGUUGAUAGGCCGGGUGUGUAAGCGCAGCGAUGCGUUGAGCUAACCGGUACUAAUGAACCGUGAGGCUUAACCUU